AACCGGGAAAUGGGGAUAUACGGAUAGAUCAUAGACGCUGGAAUGCCCUAUGGUCUAAAGCUCCGGUGCCUAAGGAUGAGUCUGCGGUCUAUCAGGUUGUAGUGGGUGUAACGUACCUACUAGCCGACGACGGAUACGGGUUGUGAGAGCAAGAGCCCGGAGAUGGAUUCUGAGACACGAAUCCAGGCCCUACGGGGUGCAGCAGGCGCGAACACUUUACAAUGCGGGAAACCGCGAUAAGGGAACCCCGAGUGCCAGCACCAAGUGCUGGCUGUCCAGAUGAAUAAAUCUUCAUUUGUUAGCCAGGGCCGGGCAAGACCGGUGCCAGCCGCCCCGGUAACACCGGCGGCCCGAGUGGUAACCGUUUUUAUUGGGUCUAAAGGGUCCGUAGCCGGUCUGAUCAGUCUUUUGGGAAAUCUGGCAGCUUAACUGUCAGGCUUCUAAGGGAUACUGUCAGGCUUGGGACCGGGAGAGGUAAGGGGUACUCCAAGGGUAGGAGUGAACUCUUGUAAUCCUUGGGGGACCAUCUGUGGCGAAGGCGCCUUACCAGAACGGGUCCGACGGUGAGGGACGAAAGCUAGGGGAGCAAACCGGAUUAGAUACCCGGGUAGUCCUAGCUGUAAACGAUGCUCGCUAGGUGUCAGACACGGUGCGUCCGUGUUUGGUGCCGUAGGGAAGCCGAGAAGCGAGCCACCUGGGAAGUACGGUCGCAAGGCUGAAACUUAAAGGAAUUGGCGGGGGAGCACUACAACGGGUGGAGCCUGCGGUUUAAUUGGAUUCAACGCCGGAAAUCUCACCGGGUGCGACAGCAAUAUGUAGGUCAGGCUGAAGGUCUUACCUGAAUCGCUGAGAGGAGGUGCAUGGCCGUCGUCAGUUCGUACUGUGAAGCAUCCUGUUAAGUCAGGCAACGAGCGAGACCCGCGCCCACAGUUGCCAGCAUGUGUCUCAGGAACGAUGGGCACACUGUGGGGACCGCCGCUGCUAAAGCGGAGGAAGGAACGGGCUACGGUAGGUCAGUAUGCCCCGAAUCUCCCGGGCUACACGCGGGCUACAAUGGUUGGGACAAUGGGCACCUACCCCGAAAGGGGACGGUAAUCUCCGAAACCCAACCGUAGUUCGGAUUGAGGGCUGUAACUCGCCCUCAUGAAGCUGGAAUCCGUAGUAAUCGCGUAUCAACAUUGCGCGGUGAAUACGUCCCUGCUCCUUGCACACACCGCCCGUCAAACCAUGCGAGUGAGUCUGGGUGAGGG
rnacentral:rRNA from 1 species